rnacentral:rRNA from 1 species
UACAUAGGGUGCGAGCGUUGUCCGGAAUUAUUGGGCGUAAAGAGCUCGUAGGCGGUCUGUCGCGUCUGCUGUGAAAUCCCGAGGCUCAACCUCGGGCUUGCAGUGGGUACGGGCAGGCUAGAGUGCGGUAGGGGAGAAUGGAACUCCUGGUGUAGCGGUGGAAUGCGCAGAUAUCAGGAAGAACACCGAUGGCGAAGGCAGUUCUCUGGGCCGUAACUGACGCUGAGGAGCGAAAGCGUGGGGAGCGAACAGG